rnacentral:rRNA from 1 species
UACGUAGGGGGCCAGCGUUGUUCGGAUUUACUGGGCGUAAAGAGCGCGCAGGCGGUCGUUCAAGUCGGGGGUGAAAGCCCUCGGCUCAACUGGGGAGCGUCAUUCGAGACUGAUCGGCUGGAAGGCGGGAGAGGGAAGCGGAAUUCCCGGUGUAGUGGUGAAAUGCGUAGAUAUUGGGAGGAACACCAGUGGCGAAGGCGGCUUCCUGGACCGGUACUGACGCUGAGGCGCGAAAGCGUGGGGAGCAAACAGG